UCCCUCUUCUCCUCCCCUCCCCUCUCCCAGGUAGUGACAGGGACAUGUAUGGCAUUCCCCAUGCUGUAGACUGUGCCUCCUUCACCCGGCCCCCCUUGAAUGAUGGAUCCCCCCCACGGUCCUGGAUCUAGGAGCCGGGGGUGAGGGAGGGCCUGAAGCUUUGCUUGAAGCGAAGCAGAUGGUGCUCUUGGCUCAACGGAGGUGGCCGAAGGACAUGACCUUCCUCCGGCUUUUCUUCUGGAAAGGAAGUCUUUGGAAGUUUGUGGCAACUGAAUAAAUCUUGUCCCUUUGAUAAGCAGGGUCCCGUUCAGCUCCCUAUGUGGAGAAAGCUCCACACUUCCUCUGAUUGUUCCCGUUUAUUGAAUUUCAGUGUGUGAGACAUGAUAACCUCGUUCCUGGGGAGUUCAGAGAGGAAGUGGAGGGGCUGGCCUGGCUUACGCCGGACAGCGCAUGAGGAGCAGCGCAGGCCGGGUUAUUCUUGGAAGUUAUUUUGAUCUGCUGGGCCCCGAUCAGCUCAUGUUUCUGUGCCCAGCCUAGGGCCACGUAAUGGGAGAAUGAGGUGUUUCAUUAUAAUAAUAGACUCAGAGCUCAUGGGGGCGGCGGCUCUUUGAGGGUAUUGGGACCCCGUUGGCUGGGCGUCCCUUGUCCCUCCCAAGCACCCUUGGUGCCAUCCAAGGGAAAGUGCCCCUGCUGGGGCCUGGUGGGAGCAGAGGAGGCGGGGAGAGAGCGGGGCUGCGCUGCUUCUGGAGGCUCCCCGGGAACUAAAGCUUCCUCUGCCUGCUCUAGGGAGCAGAAGUGACUCACGAGGAGACUGACUCAUGAGAUCAAUGGGCGGGAGAGCUGGGGAGGCAGCUUUCAGCUUAAUGUAAGGAAGAAUGUUCUGCUAAUUAAAGCUGUUUAUGAAAUGAAACUUACUGCCCUGUGAAAUAGGAGCUCCUGACACGUGAGAGCUUAUACCCCGUCUCUCAGGAGCCUCCCACCCAGGCCCCGUUUUUCUAUAUAGAUUUUUAAAUUUAAGUAAUUUCUCCUUCUUAUGGCUGUUGUGUUACUUUGCUAGGGCUGCGGGAACGAUGUAGCACAGACUGGGGGCUCAAAGCACAGCAAUUUAUCAUCUCACAGUUCUGGAGGCUGGAAGUCCAAGAUCGAGGUGUGGGCAGGGUCGGUUCCCGCUGAAGAUGUGAGGGAGAAUCUGUUCUUGCCUCUCCCCUGGCUCCCGGGGAACAAAUCUACAAUGAAACACAGAUUUUGUAUGUAUAUUUGCUGAUUUCUUGACUAAUGCAUACACUUGUAUAACCGAAACCUGUCUCAAGAUAUAGAACAUUCUCGUCACCCAUAAAGUUCCCGUGUGCCCCUUUGCAGUCGGUCCCAGCCCACCCAGAGGCAUCCAGCACAUCAAUUGAAUUUCUUGCUCAUCCUUCAGUGAAGACUAUCAAAGAUCCGUGGAUAGGAGGUGAUCUUUGAGAAGAAGCAGAAUGAUAUGUUUUCAUCUUGUUAUUCCUGAUUCCCAUUCUCUGGGUUUCUGGUGCCAUUUUGGUCUGAACUGGGAUGCGCGUAUAUCCCAGUCUUUCAUCUGGCAACGGUAUUCUCCCGGUCCAUGAACUCAGCUCGUGGCUGUGAAGUGACUGCCAUAACACCUCACCACCAAGGGCCACCGCAAAGGACAUGUCUAUGAGACACAUUUACAUUUCACACAGAUAACUUCUAUGCAGUGGACAUGGUCCGGCAGCGGACAUGUACCAUGUAGGAUUUUAUGAAAUAUUGUCUUAGCACUUUUGGAAUUUCUAGACUGUGUAGAAGAUUUGUUCUUUUCCUUUAUUGAGUUACUACUAUUACAGGAAAAAAGAAAAAAUCAAAAGCAAAGCCGGAAAUCAGGACAAGUCUGAGCAAGGUCUUCCCAAGUUGGUGCUGCAGUUGGCCUUGACGCAUUGCUUCACCACACUGAAGAGCACUUUUGGUCGUGACACCAACAGCCGUUAUUAUGACAUGAUGUUCUCUGUGUAGACUGAACACUCUAUUAGGCGCUGCAGGGUAUGCAAUAUAAAAAAAAAAAAGGCUCUUGCCUUUGGGGAGCUUGUCAUCAAGUUGGGGAAGCCUACCUGGCCGUCCUCUUGGAGAAUACAAUGAUCACGUACACCUGCCAUGGAAAUAAGUCCGGGCUUGUGCACCCUGACCUCAGAGCCUCAGUGCAGUGGGCAUCUCCCUUACCACUUAGAUUGCCACUGGAACCUGUGUCCCAAGAGAACUCUUGUCCAUGUCAGACAUGCGAGUCAUUUUAUCUUGGAGACAUGAAGAGCAGUAAAAGAGUGGAUGGAUGGCCAUGGGGAGACUCAGGAUCCUGAGUUCCAUUCAAAUUUGGAUUUUUCUGACUUUCAUGUGCUUUGACAAACACUCUUAGAUGUUAAAUGUGUAGAUGUUCUUAUAUGAACAGUAAUAGACAAAGGAGUUAUUUGGAAAUGAAAGCAUUAUUUAAGGCAUCAGAAAUAUAAAACACACAAUUGCUUUCUUCAGGAUGUUUAUUCAACAUACGUGAAGUAUUAUUCAUUUGGUGCCAACAGAUGAAAUAAUUUAUGAAAUCUACCUGUACUUUCAUGAAUAAGAAAAUAAAUAGGCACGAUUUCGGGAAAAGAAGCGCUUCUGUCAAUUUUGCACAAGUCGUAGCUGAAGCAGCAGCUUUGCAUCCUAAGAGGGACGAGCAGGAUCAUGCAACAGAGAGACAGUGGGUCCGCAGGAAGGAAAGCGUCGGUGCCCACCCCCACCUGUCCUCCUGAAAUUGCUCACGACUUGGGUUCUUUCAAAAGCCAGGGAACUAAACAUUCUUAGAGAAAACACUAGCUUGGGAAACUCAAAAACCACCUGAGUGAAUCAGGAAAUGAUAAGGGAUGACUCAAGUGAUGUCCAGACUAUCGUUACCCAUCUUUCUUCACACUAAAUUCUAACUUUUGGAAGCUCCCAUGUCAUGAUGCAACUGGCUGUGCUCAGUAACAACAAUGGUUCAUGUUACCUCUGAGGUGUACAAUAGCACUUUAAGUAACUGUAGAAAUUUGCAAAUACCUCAGACAAAUAAACGAUGAUUAACCUGAUGGAACAACAUUCCCUGUAGCCUUUGGCAGCACCAGACAGUGAGCCAGGCAGACCGAUUCUCUCAGCGCACCUAAGGCUAAAUUACAGUCAUAAAAACCAAGGCUUUGAAAUAAAUUGCUGCUGACGCAUCAUGGUUUGGCUACACCCUCCCUUGGUCUACCACUGUUUCUCUGGCCAUUUGUGUGUGGAGUCUGGUGUGUUGUCAAGUGUGGCCGCUUUGCAUGCACGGUAUUUGAACGUGAAUCCAGGCCACGUCCAGCCUGGAGCUUUUCUCAGUGUGAGAAUGCCCAUCGAUAGAAAGUGACUUGCAGAGAGCACAUUUGUCACCCCAUGUCCCUAGGUGAAAUGGCUGGUGAGUGUAGCCUGCAGCAAGAACUCUUGUCCUAUGGUGCAUGCCCACUGGGGCUGGACGGGCUCCCUGAAGCAACACUGAGUGCUGUGAAAAAAAAAUGGUAAAAGAAGAAGCCAAAUCUUUCUUUUCUGGAUCAGAUAAGGCGUUUUUUUUUUUUUUU